rnacentral:tRNA from 1 species
GGGAAUGUGGCUCAUUGGUAGAGUGCUUGCCUAGCAUGCAUGAAGCCCUGGGUUCGAUUCCCCAGUACCA